rnacentral:misc_RNA from 1 species
UUUCCGUAGGUGAACCUGCGGAAGGAUCAUUAUUGUAUAACCACUGUGCGAGGGCUGUCCCUGACCCGAGAGUGCGUGCACGCCCGACUACCCUCGCACACCGCCAUCUCACCCCUAUGUUCACCGCCGCGCUGGUCCCCCUUUGGCUUGUUCGGCGGUGUUCUUACAUUUGCACGCAACCUUUUUAUGCAGUAUAAAAUGUAUUUUUUGUUUUUGAGAGCACGCCUUCAAUACAACUUUCAACAACAGAGCUCUUGGCUCGCGCAUCGAUGAAGAACA